rnacentral:rRNA from 1 species
GAUGAACGCUAGCUACAGGCUUAACACAUGCAAGUCGCGGGGCAGCAUUUUCUUAGCUUGCUAAGGAAGAUGGCGACCGGCGCACGGGUGAGUAACGCGUAUCCAACCUUCCCAUGUCCACGGGAUAGCCCGUCGAAAGGCGGAUUAAUACCGUAUGAGGUCACAUGCGGGCAUCUAAGUGUGACGAAAGGUUUGGCGGACAUGGAUGGGGAUGCGUCCGAUUAGCUAGUUGGCGGGGUAACGGCCCACCAAGGCGACGAUCGGUAGGGGUUCUGAGAGGAAGGUCCCCCCACAUUGGAACUGAGACACGGUCCAAACUCCUACGGGAGGCAGCAGUGAGGAAUAUUGGUCAAUGGACGUAAGUCUGAACCAGCCAAGUAGCGUGCAGGAUGACGGCCCUAUGGGUUGUAAACUGCUUUUAUGCGGGGAUAAAGUGUGGGACGUGUCCCAUAUUGCAGGUACUGCAUGAAUAAGGACCGGCUAAUUCCGUG